AACGAACGCUGGCGGCAUGCCUAACACAUGCAAGUCGAACGAUCCCUUCGGGGAUAGUGGCGCACGGGUGCGUAACACGUGGGAACCUGCCCUUAGGUUCGGAAUAACUCAGAGAAAUUUGAGCUAAUACCGGAUAAUGUCUUCGGACCAAAGAUUUAUCGCCUUUGGAUGGGCCCGCGUAGGAUUAGCUUGUUGGUGGGGUAAAGGCCUACCAAGGCGACGAUCCUUAGCUGGUCUGAGAGGAUGAUCAGCCACACUGGGACUGAGACACGGCCCAGACUCCUACGGGAGGCAGCAGUGGGGAAUAUUGGACAAUGGGCGAAAGCCUGAUCCAGCAAUGCCGCGUGAGUGAUGAAGGCCUUAGGGUUGUAAAGCUCUUUUACCAGGGAUGAUAAUGACAGUACCUGGAGAAUAAGCUCCGGCUAACUCCGUGCCAGCCGCCGCGGUAAAAC
rnacentral:rRNA from 1 species